UACGGAGGGGGCUAGCGUUGUUCGGAUUUACUGGGCGUAAAGCGUGCGCAGGCGGUUCUCCAAGUCCGUUGUGAAAGCCCCGGGCUCAACCUGGGAAUGGCAGUGGAAACUAGGGGACUGGAAUCUGGCAGAGGGGGGUGGAAUGCCGCGUGUAGCAGUGAAAUGCGUAGAGAUGCGGCGGAACACCGAUGGCGAAGGCAGCCCCCUGGGCUGAGAUUGACGCUCAGGCACGAAAGCGUGGGGAGCAAACAGG
rnacentral:rRNA from 1 species